UACGUAGGGUGCGAGCGUUAAUCGGAAUUACUGGGCGUAAAGCGUGCGCAGGCGGUUCGUUAAGUUCGUCGUGAAAGCCCCGGGCUCAACCUGGGAAUGGCGAUGGAAACUGGCGGGCUGGAGUAUGGCAGAGGGGGGUGGAAUUCCGCGUGUAGCAGUGAAAUGCGUAGAGAUGCGGAGGAACACCGAUGGCGAAGGCAGCCCCCUGGGCCAAUACUGACGCUCAGGCACGAAGGCGUGGGGAGCAAACAGG
rnacentral:rRNA from 1 species